CAGUAGCCGCGGGAAUACGUAGGUGGCAAGCGUUGUCCGGAAUUAUUGGGCGUAAAGCGCGCGCAGGCGGAUAGGUCAGUCUGUCUUAAAAGUUCGGGGCUUAACCCCGUGAUGAGAUGGAAACUGCCAAUCUAGAGUAUCGGAGAGGAAAGUGGAAUUCCUAGUGUAGCGGUGAAAUGCGUAGAUAUUAGGAAGAACACCAGUGGCGAAGGCGACUUUCUGGACGAAAACUGACGCUGAGGCGCGAAAGCCAGGGGAGCGGACGGGAUUAGAUACCCCUGUAGUCCCUGUCUCUUAUAAC
rnacentral:rRNA from 1 species